GACGCUUUCUCGCAAUCGUCUUCCUCGAUAGAGCUAGGGUUCUCUUUGAAUCUCUGAUCUCCCUUAGGUGAAACUUCUACUAUAAAAAUGUAUUUGUUCUUCCCAGAGAUAUCAUCCUCAAAAUCCUACUAUAUUAGAAACUUAUUCCUUAUUCUUAUGGCUAACAUAUCUACCAUUCUUGCUGAUCUCAAAUCUGGAUGUUGCUCAUCCACGGUGGAGGUGUUGUUCCUCCGGUUUGGGAAGCUAGAAACAUUAAACGUGGUGGCGACCUACCAGUAGUAGAUAUGUUAAUUCUGGAUUCUAAGGCGACCCUCAUGGAAGCUACCGUGGAGUUUAGUCACGGCCAGUCUUCGGUGGGAACCGUCAUCCGAGUUGAAUCGUCUAGAUUUCUUCUCACCGGCUAUGUGAAUCUGGAAGCAUCACAGACUGCAAUCGUUGGCAUUAGCGCUUUUAUUAACUCCUGCACGAAUGGGCAAAUGAGUCAUCUUUCUACAACAAAUCGUCUGAGUGUUUUUUUUUUACGCUCAAGCAUCUUAACCAGAAGUUGUUGGCCAUGGAUGUGGAGCCUGAGGUGAUGUGGCUACCAGUAAUAACCCCAAGUUCAUGGGAGGUUAGGCUGGCUUUUCCUAAAUGCAACUUCUGGCACACAUUUAUACUUACUUUGAAAAAGAAACAAGUGACAGUGACACCUUCCUAGCCAGCUUUGGUAAUGGUGAAUUAGCCUCUUCCACAAGUUCGAUCAAAUAUAGUGGUGUUAAUAAGAUAGAAACAGUAACAGUGUCAAAGCUCAACACCUAUGUGGUCAACUCUACACCUCAGGUACCGUGUGGAGAUGACCUUCUCGGAUGCGACUUACUGGGCUGUGUUUGAUGUCUAGGUUAACAAAUGUGCAUGCGGCGGAAGCGGGAGAGCUCAUGACCCUUUAGAUGCAGAGGUCCCACGAUUUAUGCAAGAACUUGUGGGGGAAAACAUACGGCCCAGAAAGGCGCAACUAUCCUGAAGGUGAUAUAUGCAACUGCUCAGAUGGUGAGAAAGCUGCUACUGACCAGAUCACUGAAGGUGAUGACAACCUCUCAAACCACCCGGGGGUAUGGGAUGCAACAGCCGCUGCUGAGCAGCCCCACUUCUGGCAGAAGCAAUGCAGAGGAACAACUGGUUCCAGCAGGAGGAAACGCACUAAAAAGCACAUAUCUCCAUCAAGUUUUAUGAUAUCUGAACCAUGUUCGCUUCUUUCAUAAAUAAUAACGUCUUUCUAAUCAUUACAUUCAUGUGUUGGAUCUCA